ACGUAGGACGCAAGCGUUAUCCGGAGUUACUGGGCGUAAAGCGCGGGCAGGCGGCUCGAUGCGUCUGAUGUGAAAUCUCCUCGCUCAACGGGGAGAGGCCAUUGGAAACGGUCGAGCUGGAGGGCAGUAGAGGCAGGCGGAAUUCCGGGUGGAGUGGUGAAAUGCGUAGAUAUCGAGAGGAACACCUGCGGCGAAGGCGGGUUGCUGGGCCGACACUGACGCUGCAGCGCGAAAGCCAGGGGAGCGAACGGGA
rnacentral:rRNA from 1 species